UACGUAGGUGACAAGCGUUGUCCGGAUUUACUGGGCGUAAAGAGCGCGCAGGCGGUCGUUCAAGUCGAGUGUGAAAGCCCCCGGCUCAACUGGGGAGGGUCACUCGAUACUGAUCGACUCGAAGGCAGGAGAGGGUAGUGGAAUUCCCGGUGUAGUGGUGAAAUGCGUAGAUAUCGGGAGGAACACCAGUGGCGAAGGCGACUACCUGGCCCGGUACUGACGCUGAGGCACGAAAGCGUGGGGAGCAAACAGG
rnacentral:rRNA from 1 species